rnacentral:rRNA from 1 species
GAUGAACGCUAGCUACAGGCUUAACACAUGCAAGUCGAGGGGUAACGAGAGGGAAGCUUGCUUUCCUUGUCGACGACCGGCGGAUGGGUGAGUAACGCGUAUCCAACCUGCCCUUCAGUAAGGGAUAGCCUUUCGAAAGAAAGAAUAAUACCUUAUGUGAUCGUUUGAUGACAUCAGACGACGAUCAAAGAUUUAUCGCUGAAGGAUGGGGAUGCGUCCCAUUAGUCAGUAGGCGGGGUAACGGCCCACCUAACCUACGAUGGGUAGGGGUUCUGAGAGGAAGGUCCCCCACAUUGGAACUGAGACACGGUCCAAACUCCUACGGGAGGCAGCAGUGAGGAAUAUUGGUCAAUGGCCGUAAGGCUGAACCAGCCAAGUAGCGUGCAGGAUGACGGCCCUAUGGGUUGUAAACUGCUUUUAAACGGGGAUAAAGUGAGCCACGUGUGGUUUAUUGCAGGUACCGUUUGAAUAAGGACCGGCUAAUUCCGUGCCAGCCGCCGCAGUAA